UACAGAGGUCUCAAGCGUUGUUCGGAUUCAUUGGGCGUAAAGGGUGCGUAGGUGGCGCCAUAAGUCGGGUGUGAAAUCUCGGGGCUUAACUCCGAAACUGCAUUCGAUACUGUGGUGCUCGAGGACUGGAGAGGAGACUGGAAUUCAUGGUGUAGCAGUGAAAUGCGUAGAUAUCGUAAGGAAGACCAGUGGCGAAGGCGGGUCUCUGGACAGUUCCUGACGCUGAGGCACGAAGGCCAGGGGAGCAAACGGG
rnacentral:rRNA from 1 species